CCUACGGGUGGCAGCAGUGAGGAAUAUUGGUCAAUGGACGAGAGUCUGAACCAGCCAAGUAGCGUGAAGGAUGACUGCCCUAUGGGUUGUAAACUUCUUUUAUAUGGGAAUAAAACGUUCCACGUGUGGGAUUUUGUAUGUACCAUAUGAAUAAGGAUCGGCUAACUCCGUGCCAGCAGCCGCGGUAAUACGGAGGAUCCGAGCGUUAUCCGGAUUUAUUGGGUUUAAAGGGAGCGUAGGUGGAUUGUUAAGUCAGUUGUGAAAGUUUGCGGCUCAACCGUAAAGUGCAGUUGAAACUGGGAGUCUUGAGUACAGUAGAGGUGGGCGGAAGUCGUGGUGUAGCGGUGAAAUGCUUAGAUAUCACGAAGAACUCCGAUUGCGAAGGCAGUUCACUGGACUGCAACUGACACUGAGGCUCGAAAGUGUGGGUAUCAAACAGGAUUAGAUACCCGAGUAGUC
rnacentral:rRNA from 1 species